rnacentral:rRNA from 1 species
GACGAACGCUGGCGGCGUGCUUAACACAUGCAAGUCGAACGGAAAGGCCUGCUUUCCCCUGUGGAUUGCGGGUACUCGAGUGGCGAACGGGUGAGUAACACGUGAGUGAUCUGCCCCCAACUUGGGUAUAAGCCUGGGAAACUGGGUCUAAUUCCCGAUAGGACUGCAGGGUGGUGCCUGUGGUGGAAAACGAUUUUCUAGUGGUUGGGGAUGAGCUCGCGGCCUAUCAGCUUGUUGGUGGGGUAAUGGCCUACCAAGGCGGCGACGGGUAGCCGGCCUGGGAGGGUGGACGGCCACAUUGGGACUGAGAUACGGCCCAGACUCCUACGGGAGGCAGCAGUGGGGAAUAUUACACAAUGGGCGGAAGCCUGAUGCAGCGACGCCGCGUGGGGGAUGACGGCCUUCGGGUUGUAAACUCCUUUCGACCGCGAGGAAGCCACCUGGUUGGAAGGGUGGUGACGGUAGUGGUAGAAGAAGCACCGGCUAACUACGUG